rnacentral:rRNA from 1 species
AUGGUCUUAGCUUGCUAAGGCCGAUGGCGACCGGCGCACGGGUGAGUAACACGUAUCCAACCUGCCGUCUACUCUUGGACAGCCUUCUGAAAGGAAGAUUAAUACAAGAUGGCAUCAUGAGUCCGCAUGUUCACAUGAUUAAAGGUAUUCCGGUAGACGAUGGGGAUGCGUUCCAUUAGAUAGUAGGCGGGGUAACGGCCCACCUAGUCUUCGAUGGAUAGGGGUUCUGAGAGGAAGGUCCCCCACAUUGGAACUGAGACACGGUCCAAACUCCUACGGGAGGCAGCAGUGAGGAAUAUUGGUCAAUGGGCGAGAGCCUGAACCAGCCAAGUAGCGUGGAGGAUGACUGCCCUAUGGGUUGUAAACUUCUUUUAUAAAGGAAUAAAGUCGGGUAUGUAUACCCGUUUGCAUGUACUUUAUGAAUAAGGAUCGGCUAACUCCGUGCCAGCAGCCGCGGUAAUACGGAGGAUCCGAGCGUUAUCCGGAUUUAUUGGGUUUAAAGGGAGCGUAGAUGGAUGUUUAAGUCAGUUGUGAAAGUUUGCGGCUCAACCGUAAAAUUGCAGUUGAUACUGGAUAUCUUGAGUGCAGUUGAGGCAGGCGGAAUUCGUGGUGUAGCGGUGAAAUGCUUAGAUAUCACGAAGAACUCCGAUUGCGAAGGCAGCCUGCUAAGCUGCAACUGACAUUGAGGCUCGAA